UACGUAGGGGGCGAGCGUUGUCCGGAUUUAUUGGGCGUAAAGAGCUCGUAGGCGGCUCGGUAAGUCGGAUGUGAAAUCUCCAGGCUCAACCUGGAGUCGCCAUCCGAUACUGCCGUGGCUAGAGUCCGGUAGGGGACCGUGGAAUUCCUGGUGUAGCGGUGAAAUGCACAGAUAUCAGGAGGAACACCGGUGGCGAAGGCGGCGGUCUGGGCCGGUACUGACGCUGAGGAGCGAAAGCGUGGGGAGCAAACAGG
rnacentral:rRNA from 1 species